GCCAGUCAGUGAGGACCCUUGUUAGGCCAGCAUUAAACCUUCAAAUUCCUAUUUCCUCGCAGGAGCAGGAAGCAGCGCAGACCACAGAGCACACAACACAUGACCAUGAUGAGGCUGGCUUUAGGUGCUGUUUGGUUUACGAAAUGUAACAUAAAUAAUAAUGAUAAUGAUUCGCACUUAGUGAGUUUGAAUGUGAGCUUCUCCCGAUGCCCCAUCCUGCUGCUCCUUCAGUGCUUCUUCUUGACCUGUUGCUUUCCCGUGCCCUGUGAAGAGAACCCAACACGUUUGUUAGAUUCCUCGUGAUUAAUGAUGCCCAUUCUAUGCCCAGAUAUUGGUAUAUUGGUUAGAGCAUCGCUGCAUAAGCAGGGAUCUAUGUAGAAAUGUAGAUUGAGAGAUGAAGGGCCAAAAUGUUAGCUACUCACAACAGGCUUUCCUUUUUUCACCUGAAACCUCAAAAGGUUGAUGCAAAAUUUUAUAGGCCAUGACCUCCAAGAGUGGGCAUCCUACAGUCGCCCAACGCUAGAUACAGAUGGUCACUAAACUGGUUGUGGCAAAAUCCAGCAUCAAACUAAACAGCCCAUCAAUUUACUAUACCUCAACAGCUCAACCUAUUUGUGGAGAUUCAGCAGUUAUGCCAAUCCUACUCUAAGCUUACUAUCGAGAUUAUUAGGGUUUUUUAAGUUUGAUGCUGGUGCCCUCAGUUUUGCUGGUGUUCUUGUUUUUUACCUUUAUUCGUGUUUUUUGCUCAGUUUUACCCUUCUGCUCUAUAGCACUAGAAAGACAAAACUAAGCAAAAAAACACGACUAAAGGUAAAAAUGAGGACACCAUCAAAACCAAGAGCAUCAGCUUAAAAAACCCUUAUUAACCUAUGAAGAUCCAACAUAUAGGUAAUAACCAUCUUCCGUGGUUCCAUAGCCUUCGAAGUUCUGAAUAUGGUGUUUAAGAAACUAAGCUAUCCUCAGUUUAGAAAUUACAGAGCACAUGACAAAUACAUGGAUUAUGCAGCAAACAUUUUUUUUUUGGACACCUACCUAGACCUGGUAGUAUGAGAAUCACAAUAGUACUUAUGAAGUCAAAUGUAGUACAGUUAAUCAAGAAAGAGGAUCGGUAAAUCUGCAGACCACCUUAGCACAGUUUGUACUCAACAAAUGAGUUUAAUCCAUAAUCAAAAGGAUACUUUUUUUUCUCGAACGCGCAGGAGAACUGCGCCCCAUUAUAUAUUAAGCAUAAGAAAAUAGAAACAAAGGUUUACAGUCCUCCUUACGGAGGCCAGAAACAGGCAUACAAAUAUAGAUCCAUAAGGGGAUCAAAAAACAAACUACUCAAAUCUUCCUAAGGAAAGGAUACUGGACCUUGUCAUACUGUUGCCCGCUUUAGCAAGAGAUAAAAAACAAGUGUAUGACAUGCAUGUGUUUGUUUUACAAUGCAAAGUUGGUAGGUCAUAUUCGAAAAAUAUAUAUUUCUAAAUGAAGAGUUUAUUUUGUUUUCAGGAGUUAGCAACGUCUGUUCAUAUGUGUGUUACAAGGAAAAGACCUAUCAGAAUCAUAAAUGAAGUAAGCGGGGUGAUUCGACCAUCAAGGUGAAUGUGUCCCCUUAUCUUUCAUUAGCUACCAGAGUACAGAUAUAGAUCCCAACAUCCCGUUCCAUCUCAAACCUAAGCGCUUGAUCAAAUUUAGAAGAUAAGUUACUCAAAUGCACAAGUAUGGAUUUGAUAGUCUGUUAUUAGUCAACAGUUUUGACUUAAGGCAAACUUAGAUCCCUUAUAUUUCAGACGGACAGAGUAAUUUAUCAAGAUAUAUUGACUUUAUAUGCCAUUCUGUCAGGAUGACACUACUUCUAGGAGCACCUGGUUCCGGGAAGACGACUCUACUAAAAGCGUUAGCAGGAAAAUUGGAUUCUUCUUUGAAGGUAUACUGAGCUACCUACAUGCUACCAAAAGUAUUUGUCAACAAGAAAAGGCAAAAAUAGAUAAUAAUGUCUAGCAUUAACUAACAGAAAUAUAUAUUUUCUAACGGCCAACGAUUGCCAACAGUUCAAAGGAAAAGUCAUGUACAAUGGAGAAGAAAUUAAUUACUCAACACCACAGACACAGUACCUGCGUACUUAUGUUAGCCAGUAUGAUCUUCACCAUGCUGAGAUGACAGUAAGAGAGACAAUCGACUUCUCUUCCAAGAUGCUUGGAACCAAUAAUGAAUUUGGUAAGAUAUACUCUUGCGUAUAGGGAGCUAUUUAUUUAUUUUAAAGAUCAUUGGAAUGUGCUGCGAUUUAUAACAAGGCAAAUACUUAAGAAUGAAGUGUCUACACAAUACUCAAGCUAAAUCAAUUUUUCCAUGGCAUCUAUACUGACACAAAUUUCCUGUUUGAAUGGAAUGACAAACUCAGAUAUGCUAGGAGAAGCAAUAAGAAGAAAAAAGGGUGUCAUCAAUGAAGUGGAUCAAGAUCUUGAUUCAUUCAUUAAGGUAGUUCCAUUGCACUACUUUGUUUUUGCAAGACUGGAUUAUGUUUUGUUUAGUUACUCAAAUAGCUCUUCUCUCAGGCCACCACCUUUGGAGAAGGAAGCAACCUCACAACAAACUAUAUUAUCAAGGUAACUUGGUUACUUGCUUGAUUUGCUAUAUCUUGAAGAUAUAAUAGUAACAGUUGAUUAUAUGCAGAUACUUGGCCUGUCUGAGUGUGCUGAUACCCUAGUAGGAGACGAGAUGAGAAGAGGAAUAUCUGGAGGGCAAAAGAAGAGAGCCACAGUUGGUAAGCAUUUCUAUAAGGGCUGAUGGUAGAAGACAAAUACAGCCAUAUAUAGGUUUUAUGUAGCUGCCACCAGAAGGACACAUUUCAAUCUGAAAGAAAACGACUACUGACAUUUCACCACCUCAAGAAUGUAAAAUAUAGGGUAGGAAUCUUCAUGAUAGCGAAGAAUGACUAGCUCUAAAAUAGAAUGUUUAUAACUCUCAAGUAAGAUGGAAGUAACAACCAGAAAUUAGAAUGACGAACAGAGUAAGGAGAUACUUAACUGGAACCUAACCUAAGUUGGCAUACGCUAAAGUGAAGUUGUUUAAUGCAGGGGAGAUGCUAGUUGGUCUGGCAAGAUGCUUCUUUAUGGAUGAUAUAUCAACAGGUCUUGAUAGCUCCACGGCAUUUGAGAUCAUGAAGUUUCUCCAACAGAUGGCCCAUUUGAUGGAUCUCACAAUGGUAAUUUCCUUGUUGCAACCACCGCCUGAGACAUUGGAAUUAUUUGACGACAUUAUACUUUUAUGUGAGGGGCAAAUUGUGUAUCAUGGUCCCCGAGAAAAUGCUACGGACUUGUUCGAAACCAUGGGAUUCAAAUGCCCUGACAGGAAGAAUGUAGCCGAUUUCCUUCAAGAGGUAAUCAACCAUCAAAUGUGCCUAACUGCCAAUAAUAAAUAGCUAAACUUUGAGAUAAUUAAUACAUCAGAUCCUCAAAAUGUAUAGUGUUCAAGGCUAACUUUGAGAUAAUUAAUACAUCAGAUCCACAAAAUUAAGCAGGCAAUAGAUGACUUACAAUUCUAUGCAUGAGCAUAAAAUGUCAUUGUUCUGCAAUACACGUGCUUUUGCAAAAUAAUGUAACAAGUUUUCUCCAAUUGGCCACUGACCAGGUAACCUCUAAGAUGGACCAAAAGCAAUACUGGACUGGUGACCAAAAUAAGUAUCAGUACCAUACAAUUGAAAAUUUUGCAGAAUCCUUCCGCACGUCAUAUCUUCCUCUUCUAGUAGAAGACAAACUGUGCAGUCCAAACAAUACUGGAAAGAAUAAGGAGGUAAAAGUGAAUGCAGGUCGCCGAGUAUCCAGAUGGAAUAUUUUCAAAGCAUGCUUUUCAAGGGAACUGCUGCUGCUGAAAAGAAACUCUCCGGUCCAUAUAUUCAAGACCAUUCAGAUAACUGUUAUGGCUUUGGUGAUCUCCACACUUUUCCUGAGAACAAAAAUGAGUCACAAUUCUGUACUUGAUGCCAACAAGUACAUGGGAGCACUUUUUAUGGCUGUCGUCAUAGUAAACUUCAAUGGGAUGACUGAAAUUGCAAUGACGAUAAAGCGGCUUCCCACCUUCUACAAGCAAAGAGAGCUACUAGCAUUGCCAGGAUGGGCACUCCUUUGUUCAGUUUACCUUAUUAGCAUCCCAAUAUCGCUUGUUGAGACAGGCCUUUGGACAGGCUUAACCUACUAUGUGAUUGGAUAUGCACCUUCUGCUAUCAGGUACUCAUCUCCUGGUACUUACAUGCUGAAUGACUUCUGAUGCUUCAGCUUCAAUAGGUAAAAGCAAGAAAUGAAAUUACAUUGCUUAUGGCAGGUUCAUCCAGCACUUUCUGGUACUUUUUGCCAUGCAUCAAAUGUCAAUGGGCUUGUAUCGCUUCUUAGCGGCCAUAGGAAGGACGCAAGUGAUGGCCAACAUGCUAGGGACUGCAGCUCUUAUUGCAAUCUACAUACUUGGAGGAUUCGUCAUAUCAAAAGGUUAGAUGAAUGUAGCUUAGCAUACACCAUGAAACAUGCAUGAGUACAAGACAUACAAUCUUUACUAAAAGUUUGUGCAACAAGUUGUUAACCAAUUCUGCAAACUGAAACAGAUGAUCUCCAACCAUGGUUGCGCUGGGGAUAUUGGACGUCCCCGUUCACCUAUGCACAGAAUGCGAUCGCCCUCAAUGAGUUCCAUGACAAAAGAUGGAAUUCAGUAAGCACUAAUUUCAAAACUUGGAAGUGAUUGCUAUAUGGUAGUAUAUCCUAUUUCAAAUUAAUUACAAUAAGGUUCUUGAUCUUUUGUUUCUGGUAGGAAUUUUAUUAUAACGGUGCAAACACCGUCGGUGAAGCUAUCCUCAAGAUCAGAGGGCUGCUCAUGGAGUGGCACUGGUACUGGAUUUGUGUCACCAUUUUGUUUGGAUACUCGCUGGUCUUCAACAUCUUCAGCAUAUUUGCAUUGGAGUUCAUCGGCUGUAUGUAUACCAAUCUAUCACAAACCUCCUAAAUAUUGCAUUUAAACGAAAAAAUAAUUAUCUGCUUGUUUACUGCUUGCAGCUCCACACAAGCAUCAAGUUAACAUCAAGACCACAAAAGUGAAUUUCGUGUACAAUAGGCAGAUGGCUGAAAAUGGCAAUUCAUCAAAUGAUCAAGUUAUCCUCCCAUUUCGACCCCUCUCCCUGGUCUUUGAUCAUAUUCAAUAUUUUGUUGACAUGCCUAAGGUAAUAUCUUGUUCACUUAUUAAGAUCUUACCUGGUAGCUUCAUUAAUUCCUAUCACAUACUGAAGACAAGAAUACAAAUAUCCCACCAGGAGAUGACAAAAAAUGGAGCAACGAAGAAAAAGCUUCAGCUGCUACAAGAUGUCAGUGGUGCUUUUAGGCCAGGAGUACUAACAGCUCUGAUGGGGAUAACUGGCGCUGGCAAGACAACAUUGCUCGAUGUAUUAGCUGGAAGGAAAACUGGGGGAUAUAUCGAAGGGACUAUUAAGAUAGCAGGCUAUCCUAAGAAGCAGGAUACAUUCUCAAGGAUCUCAGGUUACUGUGAACAGAGUGACAUUCAUUCCCCUAAUCUCACUGUUUAUGAGUCACUGAAAUUUUCUGCAUGGCUUCGUCUACCUUCAAAUGUUAAACCUCAUCAAAGAGACGUAUGUGUAUUGUGUUUCAACCUCACCCCCUCUUUAUCCCUGCUGGAGCCUAGAAACUAGUUUCUGACACAAAAUUUCUCUUAAAACACAUUUCAGAUGUUCAUCAAAGAAGUCAUGAACCUUAUUGAGAUCACUGACUUGAAAAAUGCCAUGGUAGGCAUCCCAGGAGCAACUGGCCUGUCAGCCGAGCAGCGGAAAAGACUAACAAUAGCUGUGGAGCUAGUGGCCAGUCCCUCCAUUAUAUUCAUGGAUGAGCCAACCACCGGCUUGGAUGCUCGUGCUGCAGCUAUUGUCAUGAGAACAGUACGAAAGACGGUUGACACUGGACGAACUGUUGUCUGCACAAUUCAUCAACCAAGCAUUGAGAUUUUUGAAUCUUUUGAUGAGGUAUGAACAAGUUUAGAUGGUAUAGCCAUAUAAGUGGACAAAACAUAGACACAACAAGCAAUUGAGAAACAUGAUAGUCCAAUGCUGGAGUGGUGUCAAGGUAAUUACACAAUUAAAACAAACAUGAUUCUCGACAAACUUAAACAGCAGUCAAAUUGGACAAAUGUACAGAAGUAUGAAUGAAGUUGUAAAAUGCAGUUGUAAGUUAAAGUAGAAGACAAUCAAAGAACUACAUGAUAAACUGGUCUUUCUUUUAUACAAGUACGUAUAGGCACUAUGGAAUUACCAUCCUAAGUUUUAAAUUAAAUUUGUUCCAUUUCAGCUUCUGCUUAUGAAAAGAGGUGGCCAGCUCAUAUACAGUGGUUCGGUAGGUCCACUCUCUAGCAACAUGAUAAAAUAUUUUGAGGUAAGAUUGCCUAAGAUAGACGUUUAUAUUUGAAAGAUGCAGAGAGAAGAAAAUACUGAAAAUUACUUUGUAACAGGCCAUACCAGGCGUUCCUAAAAUAAACAAGGGACAAAACCCAGCAACAUGGAUGUUAGACAUCAGUUCACACAUAACAGAAUAUGAAAUUGGAGUGGACUAUGCAGAAAUUUAUUGCAAUUCCUCCCUGUACAGGUGCACCCAAUAGUACAGCCGUAAAACUGCGAAUAACUUUAUUUUAGUUGGUACAAACAAUAAGGCCUUACUCGUUUUGUACUUAAACCAUGUGGAUUGAGGAGUAUUGGGGUGGAUUGAGGUAGAUUUUGACUAGCUGUGGAUUUAUUCCCCCCUCAAUCCACAUGGAUUUGGAAAAAACGAACAUGGCCUAAGAUGGAAGUCAAUCUAAUGAAAUUCUUGGUGGCACCUGCAGGGAGAACAGGGUUCUAAUUGAUGAAUUGGAACAACCAGAACCAAACACAGAUGCUCUGUAUUUUCCUCAGGGUUAUUGGCAAAACUUUACGAUACAAUGUGUGGCAUGUUUGUGGAAGCAAAGUUGUGCAUACUGGAAAAACUCAGAACACAAUGUUGUCCGGUUCAUUAACACUUUUGCUGUUUCAAUCAUGUUUGGAAUUGUAUUCUGGAAAAUUGGCUCAAGCAUGUAAUCGGAUUAUUAUUAUCUUUCAUGACUAUUAAAUUAUUUUUUUAUGCCCCAAUCAAGAUCUAACAUGUAUUUCUUUGUGCAACAGCAAGGAUGAGCAAGACGUAUUAAACAUACUUGGAAUCGUAUAUGGAUCGGCAUUGUUCCUGGGUUUCAUGAAUUGCAGCAUCCUACAGCCGGUUGUGGCAAUGGAGAGAGUUGUGCUCUACCGUGAAAAGGCGGCAGGCAUGUACUCCACCAUGGCAUACGCUAUCGCUCAGGUAACAUAACACAUCAACAAUCAACCUGUCCUAAGAAAAUCCAGUUGUUCUGAUCACCAGAACAGGCUUGGCACAGAUUAUGAACCGAAGGUUUACGUGUUGCAGGUGUCGGUGGAAUUACCUUACAUGUUGGUGCAAGUGAUGAUCUUCUCAUCAAUCGUGUACCCAAUGAUUGGGUUCCAGGUGACAGCGAGCAAAUUCUUCU
rnacentral:lncRNA from 1 species